GAGUUUGAUCCUGGCUCAGAAUGAACGUUGGCGGCGUGGAUUAGGCAUGCAAGUCGAGCGCUCAUCAGCAAUGGUGGGAGCGGCGAACGGCGUAGUAAGGUGUAGGAACGUACCCUCAGGUCGAGGAUAGCUAUGGGAAACUGUAGGUAAUACUCGAUGAUCUCUGCGGAGCAAAGGUGAGAUUCCGCCUGAGGAGCGGCUUACAUGAUAUUAGCUAGUUGGUGAGGUAAUGGCUCACCAAGGCGUAGAUGUCUAGGGGGUGUGAGAGCAUGGCCCCCACGACCGGAACUGAGACACUGUCCGGACACCUACGGGUGGCUGCAGUCGAGAAUCUUCCGCAAUGGACGAAAGUCUGACGGAGCGACGCCGCGUGCGGGAAGAAGGUACUUCGUAUUGUAAACCGCUGUCAGGGGGGAUGAAAUCUCCGGGGGUUAUCCCUUGGAGUUGACAGAGCCCCAGAGGAAGCACGGGCUAAGUAUGUGCCAGCAGCCGCGGUAAUACAUACUGUGCGAACGUUAUUCGGAAUCACUGGGCUUAAAGGGUGCGUAGGCGGCGAUUCAAGUCAGAUGUGAAAUGCCUGAGCUCAACUGA
rnacentral:rRNA from 1 species